GCUGGCGUAGCUCAGUUGGUAGAGCAGCUGACUUGUAAUCAGCAGGUCGGGGGUUCAAAUCCCUUCGCCAGCUCCU
rnacentral:tRNA from 1 species